rnacentral:rRNA from 1 species
UACGUAGGGGGCUAGCGUUGUCCGGAUUUAUUGGGCGUAAAGAGCGUGUAGGCGGCCAAGUAGGUCCGUUGUGAAAACUGGAGGCUUAACCUCCAGCUGUCGAUGGAAACCAUUUGGCUAGAGUCCGGAAGAGGAGAGUGGAAUUCCUGGUGUAGCGGUGAAAUGCGCAGAUAUCAGGAAGAACACCCGUGGCGAAGGCGGCUCUCUGGGACGGUACUGACGCUGAGACGCGAAAGCUAGGGGAGCAAACGGG